rnacentral:rRNA from 1 species
UACAGAGGUCUCAAGCGUUGUUCGGAUUCAUUGGGCGUAAAGGGUGCGUAGGCGGCGCGGUAAGUCGGGUGUGAAAUCUUGGAGCUUAACUCCGAAACUGCAUUCGAUACUGCCGUGCUUGAGGACUGGAGAGGAGACUGGAAUUUACGGUGUAGCGGUGAAAUGCGUAGAUAUCGGGAGGAACACCGGUGGCGAAGGCGGGUCUCUGGGCCGAUACUGACGCUGAGGAGCGAAAGCGUGGGGAGCGAACAGG